rnacentral:rRNA from 1 species
AAUCAACGCUGGCGGCGUGCCUCAGACAUGCAAGUCGAACGCGAAAGGUUCCUUCGGGAACCGAGUAGAGUGGCGCACGGGUGAGUAACACGUAGGUAAUUUGCCUUUGGGUGGGGAAUAACAGCCGGAAACGGCUGCUAAUACCGCAUAAUGCAGCGGCUCGACAUCGAGACAGUUGUUAAAGCGGGGGAUCGCAAGACCUCGCGCCUAAAGAGAAGCCUGCGGCAGAUAGCUAGUUGUAGGGUAAUGGCCUACCAAGGCGACGAUCUGU